CUACCCCCUCCCCCCCCACGCCGAGGAACUCUCCCAACCCCGCGUCACCCUGACCUGCCUGGCCCGCGGCUUCCGCCCUCGCGACAUCGAGAUCCGUUGGCUCCGCGACCACCAGAACGUGCCGGCCACCGACUACGUCACCACCGGCGUCUUGGCCGAGGAGUGCGGCGAUGCCGCCGGCGCCGACGGCGACACCUACUUCGUCUACAGUAAGAUGAGCGUGCCCACCUCCAGCUGGCGCGGCGGCACCGUCUACGCGUGCAUGGCGGUGCACGAGGCGCUGCCCAUGCGCUUCAGCCAGCGCACCCUGCAAAAACUGCCCGGUAAAUAAAGUGAUGGG